CGAAUACCGGAGAAUGUUAUCACGGGAGACACACGGCGGGUGCUAACGUCCGUCGUGAAGAGGGAAACAACCCAGACCGCCAGCUAAGGUCCCAAAGUCAUGGUUAAGUGGGAAACGAUGUGGGAAGGCCCAGACAGCCAGGAUGUUGGCUUAGAAGCAGCCAUCAUUUAAAGAAAGCGUAAUAGCUCACUGGUCGAGUCGGCCUGCGCGGAAGAUGUAACGGGGCUAAACCAUGCACCGAAGCUGCGGCAGCGACGCUGAUGCGUUGUUGGGUAGGGGAGCGUUCUGUAAGCCUGCGAAGGUGUGCUGUGAGGCAUGCUGGAGGUAUCAGAAGUGCGAAUGCUGACAUAAGUAACGAUAAAGCGGGUGAAAAGCCCGCUCGCCGGAAGACCAAGGGUUCCUGUCCAACGUUAAUCGGGGCAGGGUGAGUCGACCCCUAAGGCGAGGCCGAAAGGCGUAGUCGAUGGGAAACAGGUUAAUAUUCCUGUACUUGGUGUUACUGCGAAGGGGGGACGGAGAAGGCUAUGUUGGCCGGGCGACGGUUGUCCCGGUUUAAGCGUGUAGGCUGGUUUUCCAGGCAAAUCCGGAAAAUCAAGGCUGAGGCGUGAUGACGAGGCACUACGGUGCUGAAGCAACAAAUGCCCUGCUUCCAGGAAAAGCCUCUAAGCAUCAGGUAACAUCAAAUCGUACCCCAAACCGACACAGGUGGUCAGGUAGAGAAUACCAAGGCGCUUGAGAGAACUCGGGUGAAGGAACUAGGCAAAAUGGUGCCGUAACUUCGGGAGAAGGCACGCUGAUAUGUAGGUGAAGUCCCUCGCGGAUGGAGCUGAAAUCAGUCGAAGAUACCAGCUGGCUGCAACUGUUUAUUAAAAACACAGCACUGUGCAAACACGAAAGUGGACGUAUACGGUGUGACGCCUGCCCGGUGCCGGAAGGUUAAUUGAUGGGGUCAGCGCAAGCGAAGCUCUUGAUCGAAGCCCCGGUAAACGGCGGCCGUAACUAUAACGGUCCUAAGGUAGCGAAAUUCCUUGUCGGGUAAGUUCCGACCUGCACGAAUGGCGUAAUGAUGGCCAGGCUGUCUCCACCCGAGACUCAGUGAAAUUGAACUCGCUGUGAAGAUGCAGUGUACCCGCGGCAAGACGGAAAGACCCCGUGAACCUUUACUAUAGCUUGACACUGAACAUUGAGCCUUGAUGUGUAGGAUAGGUGGGAGGCUUUGAAGUGUGGACGCCAGUCUGCAUGGAGCCGACCUUGAAAUACCACCCUUUAAUGUUUGAUGUUCUAACGUGGACCCGUAAUCCGGGUUGCGGACAGUGUCUGGUGGGUAGUUUGACUGGGGCGGUCUCCUCCUAAAGAGUAACGGAGGAGCACGAAGGUUGGCUAAUCCUGGUCGGACAUCAGGAGGUUAGUGCAAUGGCAUAAGCCAGCUUGACUGCGAGCGUGACGGCGCGAGCAGGUGCGAAAGCAGGUCAUAGUGAUCCGGUGGUUCUGAAUGGAAGGGCCAUCGCUCAACGGAUAAAAGGUACUCCGGGGAUAACAGGCUGAUACCGCCCAAGAGUUCAUAUCGACGGCGGUGUUUGGCACCUCGAUGUCGGCUCAUCACAUCCUGGGGCUGAAGUAGGUCCCAAGGGUAUGGCUGUUCGCCAUUUAAAGUGGUACGCGAGCUGGGUUUAGAACGUCGUGAGACAGUUCGGUCCCUAUCUGCCGUGGGCGCUGGAGAA
rnacentral:rRNA from 1 species